GACAGAGGGUGCAAACGUUGUUCGGAAUUACUGGGCGUAAAGCGCGUGUAGGCGGCUUGGCAAGUCGGGUGUGAAAGCCCUGGGCUCAACCUAGGAAGUGCACUCGAAACUGCUUCGCUUGAGUGUCGGAGAGGAAAGCGGAAUUCUCGGUGUAGAGGUGAAAUUCGUAGAUAUCGAGAGGAACACCGGUGGCGAAGGCGGCUUUCUGGACGAUAACUGACGCUGGAGACGCGAAAGCCGUGGGGAGCAAACAGG
rnacentral:rRNA from 1 species